AAAAAAAAAAACAAGAAGAAGAAGAAGCAGGAGCAGCAAUUAUGCGGUUGCUUCGCUCAUCAUGCUGAUAGUGUUCAUUACGCUACUAUUAGUAGCUACUUCUUGCGUUUCAAGCUGUCUAGUACAUAAAUGUUGGUGAUUGGCAAUACGAUUGGAGGAAUUAAGGCAAAAGAGCACCUAACCAUGUUAUAUGUUUCAUGCAUUUGUUCAUUAAUGCAGCUUGAUCCGGCGUUAAAAUUGGCUUGAUCGGACUGCCGUGGUCUGUCAUCAUCCCUGAACAGGUCGGUCGACAUCAGAUCUUCACCUAUAUUGGAGGCUAAGUUGUUCACCAACUCAUUGUGUUUAUGGCUAGUAUAUUCGAUCCCCUUUAGACAUGCUAUCCAAUCAAACGAAGCCUUGCUACUGUGCGGAAUAUAAUGUGCAGUUGUGCACUAACAAAGGCCAAGCGGAGUCACUAUGAAUUGCUAAUGGAGCUAGACUUGUAAAUGCCGAAUAAUAAGACGCUGGAUCCAGAGUUUUCUGACUUUUCUUGUUGGAGCUGGACUGGAGCCGGGAUGUUCCCUCGUUUUUAAAGAGAAAAAUGGCCCGGGCUUAGGAUCUAAUUAAAGAUAGUGGCCACAUUAUGAACCAUGUUUGCACAAUGUUGCAAAUACAACAACUUACCAUUUUCCAAGCUAACUAAAAGCUAAUGACCCCCAGUCCCCAGAUCCCUUAAUCUGGCAGAGGGAAAUUGCUGGGAUCAAUCAUACUCAUACAUGCAUACGACUCCAGGUCCAAACUCUCAGCUGUGUCAUGUGUACACUGGAGUACACUGCAGAAAUCUAGAGAAUAGCAGGUCCAGGAUACUACCGGUCUUAACACUAGCUGCCACCCUCCUACUCCAUCCACAUCCAUGACCAUGCUAGCAUUGCAUUGCACCACCCGCCUACACAAUUAACAUGUUAAUAUUACUCCCUCCAUCUCAUAAUAUAAGGGAUUUUAAAGGGAUGUGAUACUUGCUAGGACUAUAAAUCUGAACAAACAUGUCUAGAUUUUGUCCAUAUUCAAUCUGAAUAACCCUGUCUAGAUUUUGUCCAGAUUCAUUGUUUUAGAAAAUAUCACAUCCCUUCAAAAUCCCUUAUAUUACAUGGAGUAACCAGAAAGAGUCUCUCCGUUGCUCGUCCGCUGUGGUAGUACGAGAGCUCGUGCGAAUGAGUUUAGCAGGAGAGAAGAGAAACGCGUCGCUGCAGGUGAGAGUAAAGCGCCGCCGUGGUAGGUCAGGUCUCCUUGCUGACCCCGGCCGCUAUCUAUCCAUCCAUCUGAGUCUCUACUAGAAUGCUACCUUAGCUAGAUCUCCUGUCUGUCCCUGAUGCAUGGAGGUACGCAUGUGCGCCAUGAGUGGCUUCGAGCGGCGAGGAAAUGGAGGCCAGCUCGAUCGAUCGGCUCAGGAGAGGAGAGACGCUGGCUGCUUUGCGAAGGCAAAGCCCGGGGGGGGGGGGGGGGGGGGGAUUAUUUGGGAGGGGAAAAUGAUUUGGGGGGUUGCUGUACACUGUACCGUCGGCGCUGCUGGCACUUGAAGGCGGUCACGGCCACUCCUCCAACCGCCAUUAAUGGAGCUGCUGCCCAGCUCCAUGUAAAUGUAUGUAUGCUCUCCUCCUCCAUGCUGCCGCGUGCUUCAUCUUCUUCCAAAUUACCUUUUUUUAUUACUGUUUGUUUGGGAGGAAGAAGAGGAGAGAAGGGCAGCUGCAAUGCUGCCU
rnacentral:lncRNA from 1 species